rnacentral:rRNA from 1 species
UACGAAGGGGGCUAGCGUUGCUCGGAAUUACUGGGCGUAAAGGGCGCGUAGGCGGCACUGUUAGUCAGGCGUGAAAGUCCUGGGCUCAACCUGGGAACUGCGCUUGAUACGGCAGAGCUAGAGGAUGGAAGAGGCUCGCGGAAUUCCCAGUGUAGGGGUGAAAUUCGUAGAUAUUGGGAAGAACACCGGUGGCGAAGGCGGCGAGCUGGUCCAUUACUGACGCUGAGGCGCGACAGCGUGGGGAGCAAACAGG